CAUCCUUUGACAACUCUAGAGAUAGAGCCUUCCCCUUCGGGGGACAAAGUGACAGGUGGUGCAUGGUUGUCGUCAUCUCGUGUCGUGAGAUGUUGGGUUAAGUCCCGCAACGAGCGCAACCCUUAAGCUUAGUUGCCAUCAUUAAGUUGUGCACUCUAAGUUGACUGCCGGUGACAAACCGUAGGAAGGUGGGGAUGACGUCAAAUCAUCAUGCCCCUUAUGAUUUGGGCUACACACGUGCUACAAUGG
rnacentral:rRNA from 1 species